rnacentral:rRNA from 1 species
CCUACGGGGGGCAGCAGUGGGGAAUAUUGCACAAUGGGCGCAAGCCUGAUGCAGCCAUGCCGCGUGUAUGAAGAAGGCCUUCGGGUUGUAAAGUACUUUCAGCGGGGAGGAAGGUGUUGUGGUUAAUAACCACAGCAAUUGACGUUACCCGCAGAAGAAGCACCGGCUAACUCCGUGCCAGCAGCCGCGGUAAUACGAAGGGUGCAAGCGUUAAUCGGAAUUACUGGGCGUAAAGCGCACGCAGGCGGUCUGUCAAGUCGGAUGUGAAAUCCCCGGGCUCAACCUGGGAACUGCAUCCGAAACUGGCAGGCUAGAGUCUUGUAGAGGGGGGUAGAAUUCCAGGUGUAGCGGUGAAAUGCGUAGAGAUCUGGAGGAAUACCGGUGGCGAAGGCGGCCCCCUAGACAAAGACUGACGCUCAGGUGCGAAAGCGGGGGGAGCAAACAGGAUUAGAUACCCCCGUAGUC